rnacentral:tRNA from 1 species
GCGGUGUUAGCUCAGCUGGAUAGAGUGCCUGGCUACGAACCAGUAGGUCGAGGGUUCGAGUCCCCCGUGCCGCGCCA